rnacentral:rRNA from 1 species
UAGUCCACGCCCUAAACGAUGCUAACUCGAUGUUUGGGUCUUGUACUUGAGCAUCCUAGGGAAACCGUUAAGUUAGCCACCUGGGGAGUACGUUCGCAAGAAUGAAACUCAAAGGAAUUGACGGGGGCCCGCACAAGCGGUGGAGCAUGUGGUUUAAUUCGAUGAUACGCGAGGUAACCUUACCAGGGCUUAAAUGUAAGUUGCAUUAAUCGGAGAUGGUUAUUUCUUCGGACCACUUACAAGGUGCUGCAUGGUUGUCGUCAGCUCGUGCCGUGAGGUGUCAGGUUAAGUCCUAUAACGAGCGCAACCCCUGUGGUUAGUUGCCAGCGAGUCAUGUCGGGAACUCUAGCCAGACUGCCGGUGCAAACCGCGAGGAAGGUGGGGAUGACGUCAAAUCAUCACGGCCCUUACGUCCUGGGCUACACACGUACUACAAUGGUAGGUACAGAGAGCAGCCACUUGGUGACAAGGAGCGAAUCUAUAAAGCCUAUCUCAGUUCGGAUCGGAGU